rnacentral:lncRNA from 1 species
UGGGGUCAGGGGUCUUGGAGGUUAUGGGGCUGUGGGGCUGUGGGGGGGCUGUGGGGUCCCAGUGGGGCCAUGAUCUGCGCCGGGUACCCGCAGGGACAGAGGGACACAUGCAAGGUCAGGGGGGUCAGAGGUCAGGGGUCACGGGGUCAAGGGGUCAAGGGUCACGGGUCGAGGGUCAGGGGUCACCGGAUCAUGGGGGCUGUGGGGCUGUGGGGUCCCAAUGGAGCCGUGAUCUGCACCGGGUACCCCCAGGGACAGAGGGACACCUGCAAGGUCAGGGGUCACGGGGUCAAGGGUCACGGGGUCAAAAGUCAGGGGGUUACGGGGUCAGGGGUCUUGGAGGUUGUGGGGCUGUGGGGUCCCAGUGGAGCCAUGAUCUGCGCUGGGUACCCGCAGGGACAGAGGGACACAUGCAAGGUCAGGGGGUCAAAGGUCAGGGGUCACGGGGUCAACGGUCAGGGGUCACGGGGUCAACGGUCAGGGGUCACGGGGUCGAGGGUCAGGGGUCACCGGAUCAUGGGGGGCUGUGGGGCUGUGGGGUCCCAGCGGAGCCGUGAUCUGCGCCGGGUACCCCCAGGGACAGCGCGACACCUGCAAGGGCGACUCAGGCGGCCCGCUGGUGUGCGCCGUGGGGCGGCGCUGGGUGCUGGUGGGCAUCGUGAGUUGGGGGGAGGGCUGCGCGGUGCCCAAGCGCCCGGGGGUCUACACCCGCGUCAGCGCCUACGCCCCAUGGAUCGCCCCACGAGCCCCCGGCGUCACCUUCCUCACCGCCGCCGCCGCGACCCACGGCCGCCCCACCGCGACCCACGGCGCCAUCGUGAGCAUCGUCCUCGUCCUCGGCGUCUGGGGGGCGCUGGGGUGAGGGGGGGGCGGGGGCGAAAUACAGCGCUCUGUGACCCACGGCUGUGACCCAUGGUUGGUUGUGUGAGCCAUGGCUGUGACCCACGGCUGUGACCCACGGCUGGUUGCGUGACCCAUGGCUGUGACCCACGGCUGGUUGUGUGAGCCAUGGUUGCGUGACCCACGGCUGUGACCCAUGGUUGUGACCCAUGGUUGCGUGACCCACAGCUGUGUGACCCAUGGCUGUGACCCUUGGUUGUGACCCACAGCUGUGUGACCCACGGCUGUGACCCACGGCUGUGACCCACGGCUGGUUGCGUGAGCCAUGGCUGUGAGCCAUGGCUGUGACCCACAGCUGUGACCCAUGGCUGUGACCCAUGGUUGGUUGUGUGAGCCAUGGUUGUGACCCA